GUCAGGUAUUGGAGGAUCAAAUCUCCUUUCAAUUCCCACUACAUAGUAAGCUCAAGCUUCUUAAGCUCUUCAAGGUCCUUGAUCAUUAUCAUAUAAUGAUCGUGGACUGACUGUCCCUCACGUAUGUUCAUAUUAAACAUCCGCUUAAACAAUUCGAUACGUGCGGUUCGAUUUUGCUCAUCGUACAACUCUAACAGGUGAGUAAUCAUGGCACGGGCAGUGGGCA
rnacentral:lncRNA from 1 species